rnacentral:miRNA from 1 species
GAGAGGUUGCCGGAAAGA